rnacentral:misc_RNA from 1 species
UCCGAUUUGUCACCGGCAGUCUCCCUAGAGUCCCCGACAUAACUCGCUUUAACUAGCAUGUCAAACCCAGGUAAGGUUCUUCGCGUUGCAUCGAAUUAAGCCACAUGCUCCGCCGCUUGUGCGGGCCCCCGUCAAUUCCUUUGAGUUUUAGCCUUGCGGCCGUACUCCCCAGGCGGGGUGCUUAAUGCGUUAGCUUCGGCACGGAACGGGUUGAAGACCGCCCCACACCUAGCACCCAACGUUUACGGCUGGGACUAC